rnacentral:rRNA from 1 species
GACGAACGCUGGCGGCGUGCCUAAUACAUGCAAGUCGAACGCACGAAGUUGAAGAGCUUGCUCUUUAACCAAGUGAGUGGCGGACGGGUGAGUAACACGUGGGUAACCUGCCCAUUAGAGGGGGAUAACAUUCGGAAACGGAUGCUAAUACCGCAUAGUUUCAGGAAUCGCAUGAUUCUUGAAGGAAAGGUGGCUUCGGCUACCACUAAUGGAUGGACCCGCGGCGUAUUAGCUAGUUGGUGAGGUAAUGGCUCACCAAGGCAAUGAUACGUAGCCGACCUGAGAGGGUGAUCGGCCACACUGGGACUGAGACACGGCCCAGACUCCUACGGGAGGCAGCAGUAGGGAAUCUUCCGCAAUGGACGAAAGUCUGACGGGGCAACGCCGCGUGAGUGAAGAAGGUUUUCGGAUCGUAAAACUCUGUUGUUAAAGAAGAACAAGGAUGAGAGUAACUGCUCAUCCCCUGACGGUAUUUAACCAGAAAGCCACGGCUAACUACGUGCCAGCAGCCGCGGUAAUACGUAGGUGGCAAGCGUUGUCCGGAUUUAUUGGGCGUAAAGCGAGCGCAGGCGGUUCUUUAAGUCUGAUGUGAAAGCCCCCGGCUCAACCGGGGAGGGUCAUUGGAAACUGGAGAACUUGAGUGCAGAAGAGGAGAGUGGAAUUCCCACGUGUAGCGGUGAAAUGCGAGAUAUGUGGAGGAACACCAGUGGCGAAAGCGACUCUCUGGUCUGUAACUGACGCUGAGCUCGAAAGCGUGGGGAGCAAACAG